UACGUAGGGUGCGAGCGUUGUCCGGAAUUACUGGGCGUAAAGAGCUUGUAGGUGGUUUGUCGCGUUGUUCGUGAAAUCUCACGGCUUAACUGUGAGCGUGCGAGCGAUACGGGCAGACUAGAGUACUGCAGGGGAGACUGGAAUUCCUGGUGUAGCGGUGGAAUGCGCAGAUAUCAGGAGGAACACCGGUGGCGAAGGCGGGUCUCUGGGCAGUAACUGACGCUGAGAAGCGAAAGCGUGGGGAGCGAACAGG
rnacentral:rRNA from 1 species